rnacentral:rRNA from 1 species
GGACCAGUGAGCCGCCUUCGCCACUGGUGUUCCUCCGAAUAUCUACGAAUUUCACCUCUACACUCGGAAUUCCACUCACCUCUUCCAUACUCUAGACACCCAGUAUCAAAGGCAGUUCCGGGGUUGAGCCCCGGGAUUUCACCCCUGACUUAAAUGUCCGCCUACGUGCGCUUUACGCCCAGUAAUUCCGAACAACGCUAGCCCCCUUCGUAUUACCGCGGCUGCUGGCACGAAGUUAGCCGGGGCUUCUUCUCCGGUUACCGUCAUUAUCUUCACCGGUGAAAGAGCUUUACAACCCUAGGGCCUUCAUCACUCACGCGGCAUGGCUGGAUCAGGCUUGCGCCCAUUGUCCAAUAUUCCCCACUGCUGCCUCCCGUAGGAGUUUGGGCCGUGUCUCAGUCCCAAUGUGGCUGAUCAUCCUCUCAGACCAGCUAUGGAUCGUCGCCUUGGUAGGCCUUUACCCCACCAACUAGCUAAUCCAACGCGGGCUCAUCCUUUCCCGAUAAAUCUUUCCCCCGAAGGGCGUAUACGGUAUUAGCACAAGUUUCCCUGCGUUAUUCCGUAGAAAAGGGUAGAUUCCCACGCGUUACUCACCCGUCUGCCGCUCCCCUUGCGGGGCGCUCGACUUGCAUGUGUUAAGCCUGCCGCCAGCGUUCGU